rnacentral:rRNA from 1 species
UGCCGCGUGUGUGAAGAAGGCCUUCGGGUUGUAAAGCACUUUUGUCCGGAAAGAAAUCGCACUUACUAAUAUUAGGUGUGGAUGACGGUACCGGAAGAAUAAGGACCGGCUAACUACGUGCCAGCAGCCGCGGUAAUACGUAGGGUCCAAGCGUUAAUCGGAAUUACUGGGCGUAAAGCGUGCGCAGGCGGUUGUGCAAGACCGAUGUGAAAUCCCCGGGCUUAACCUGGGAAUUGCAUUGGUGACUGCACGGCUAGAGUGUGUCAGAGGGGGGUAGAAUUCCACGUGUAGCAGUGAAAUGCGUAGAGAUGUGGAGGAAUACCGAUGGCGAAGGCAGCCCCCUGGGAUAACACUGACGCUCAUGCACGAAAGCGUGGGGAGCAAACAGGAUUAGAUACCCUGGUAGUCCACGCCCUAAACGAUGUCAACUAGUUGUUGGGGAUUCAUUUCCUUAGUAACGUAGCUAACGCGUGAAGUUGACCGCCUGGGGAGUACGGUCGCAAGAUUAAACUCAAGGGAAUUGACGG